GAUGAACGCUGGCGGCGUGCCUAAUACAUGCAAGUCGAGCGAACAGACGAGGAGCUUGCUCCUCUGACGUUAGCGGCGGACGGGUGAGUAACACGUGGAUAACCUACCUAUAAGACUGGGAUAACUUCGGGAAACCGGAGCUAAUACCGGAUAAUAUAUUGAACCGCAUGGUUCAAUAGUGAAAGACGGUUUUGCUGUCACUGAUAGAUGGAUCCGCGCCGCAUUAGCUAGUUGGUAAGGUAACGGCUUACCAAGGCAACGAUGCGUAGCCGACCUGAGAGGGUGAUCGGCCACACUGGAACUGAGACACGGUCCAGACUCCUACGGGAGGCAGAAGUAGGGAAUCUUCCGCAAUGGGCGAAAGCUUGACGGAGCAACGCCGCGUGAGUGAUGAAGGUCUUCGGAUCGUAAAACUCUGUUAUUAGGGAAGAACAAAUGUGUAAGUAACUAUGCACGUCUUGACGGUACCUAAUCAGAAAGCCACGGCUAACUACGUG
rnacentral:rRNA from 1 species